GCUUUGAUAGUUUAAAACAAAACGCUGGUCUUGUAAACCGGUAAUGAGGCUUUACCUCUCAAACCA
rnacentral:tRNA from 1 species